rnacentral:rRNA from 1 species
GAGAGGAACUUGUUCCUCGAGUCGUUGAUUUCACACUGCCGAGAAAAGCCUCUAGCUAGAAUAACGGUGCCCGUACCGCAAACCGACACAGGUAGUCAAGAUGAGAAUUCUAAGGUGAGCGAGCGAACUCUCGUUAAGGAACUCGGCAAAAUGACCCCGUAACUUCGGGAGAAGGGGUGCUCUUUGAGGUUCACGCUUCGAAGAGCCGCAGUGAAUAGGCCCAAGCGACUGUUUAUCAAAAACACAGGUCUCUGCUAAACCGUAAGGUGACGUAUAGGGGCUGACGCCUGCCCGGUGCUGGAAGGUUAAGAGGAGUGGUUAGCGCAAGCGAAGCUACGAAUCGAAGCCCCAGUAAACGGCGGCCGUAACUAUAACGGUCCUAAGGUAGCGAAAUUCCUUGUCGGGUAAGUUCCGACCCGCACGAAAGGCGUAACGAUUUGGGCACUGUCUCAACGAGAGACUCGGUGAAAUCAUAGUACCGGUGAAGAUGCCGGUUACCCGCGACAGGACGGAAAGACCCCGUGGAGCUUUACUGUAGCCUGAUAUUGAAAUUCGGUACAGUUUGUACAGGAUAGGUAGGAGCCUUAGAAGCGUGAGCGCUAGCUUACGUGGAGGCAUUGGUGGGAUACUACCCUAAUUGUAUUGGAUUUCUAACCCGCAGCACUUAUCGUGCUGGGAGACAGUGUCAGGCGGGCAGUUUGACUGGGGCGGUCGCCUCCUAAAGAGUAACGGAGGCGCUCAAAGGUUCCCUCAGAAUGGUUGGAAAUCAUUCAUAGAGUGUAAAGGCAUAAGGGAGCUUGACUGCGAGACCUACAAGUCGAGCAGGGUCGAAAGACGGACUUAGUGAUCCGGUGGUUCCGCAUGGAAGGGCCAUCGCUCAACGGAUAAAAGCUACCCCGGGGAUAACAGGCUUAUCUCCCCCAAGAGUUCACAUCGACGGGGAGGUUUGGCACCUCGAUGUCGGCUCAUCGCAUCCUGGGGCUGUAGUCGGUCCCAAGGGUUGGGCUGUUCGCCCAUUAAAGCGGUACGCGAGCUGGGUUCAGAACGUCGUGAGACAGUUCGGUCCCUAUCCGUCGUGGGCGUAGGAAAUUUGAGAGGAGCUGUCCUUAGUACGAGAGGACCGGGAUGGACA